UGCAGUCGAGCGGUAGCACAGAGAGCUUGCUCUCGGGUGACGAGCGGCGGACGGGUGAGUAAUGUCUGGGAAACUGCCUGAUGGAGGGGGAUAACUACUGGAAACGGUAGCUAAUACCGCAUAAUGUCGCAAGACCAAAGUGGGGGACCUUCGGGCCUCAUGCCAUCAGAUGUGCCCAGAUGGGAUUAGCUAGUAGGUGGGGUAACGGCUCACCUAGGCGACGAUCCCUAGCUGGUCUGAGAGGAUGACCAGCCACACUGGAACUGAGACACGGUCCAGACUCCUACGGGAGGCAGCAGUGGGGAAUAUUGCACAAUGGGCGCAAGCCUGAUGCAGCCAUGCCGCGUGUGUGAAGAAGGCCUUCGGGUUGUAAAGCACUUUCAGCGGGGAGGAAGGCGUUAAGGUUAAUAACCUUGGCGAUUGACGUUACCCGCAGAAGAAGCACCGGCUAACUCCGUGCCAGCAGCCGCGGUAAUACGGAGGGUGCAAGCGUUAAUCGGAAUUACUGGGCGUAAAGCGCACGCAGGCGGUCUGUCAAGUCGGAUGUGAAAUCCCCGGGCUCAACCUGGGAACUGCAUUCGAAACUGGCAGGCUAGAGUCUUGUAGAGGGGGGUAGAAUUCCAGGUGUAGCGGUGAAAUGCGUAGAGAUCUGGAGGAAUACCGGUGGCGAAGGCGGCCCCCUGGACAAAGACUGACGCUCAGGUGCGAAAGCGUGGGGAGCAAACAGGAUUAGAUACCCUGGUAGUCCACGCCGUAAACGAUGUCGAUUUGGAGGUUGUGCCCUUGAGGCGUGGCUUCCGGAGCUAACGCGUUAAAUCGACCGCCUGGGGAGUACGGCCGCAAGGUUAAAACUCAAAUGAAUUGACGGGGGCCCGCACAAGCGGUGGAGCAUGUGGUUUAAUUCGAUGCAACGCGAAGAACCUUACCUGGUCUUGACAUCCACAGAACUUUCCAGAGAUGGAUUGGUGCCUUCGGGAACUGUGAGACAGGUGCUGCAUGGCUGUCGUCAGCUCGUGUUGUGAAAUGUUGGGUUAAGUCCCGCAACGAGCGCAACCCUUAUCCUUUGUUGCCAGCGGUUCGGCCGGGAACUCAAAGGAGACUGCCAGUGAUAAACUGGAGGAAGGUGGGGAUGACGUCAAGUCAUCAUGGCCCUUACGACCAGGGCUACACACGUGCUACAAUGGCAUAUACAAAGAGAAGCGACCUCGCGAGAGCAAGCGGACCUCAUAAAGUAUGUCGUAGUCCGGAUUGGAGUCUGCAACUCGACUCCAUGAAGUCGGAAUCGCUAGUAAUCGUAGAUCAGAAUGCUACGGUGAAUACGUUCCCGGGCCUUGUACACACCGCCCGUCACACCAUGGGAGUGGGUUGCAAAAGAAGUAGGUAGCUUAACCUUCGGGAGGGCGCUAC
rnacentral:rRNA from 1 species